CCUACGGGUGGCAGCAGUGGGGAAUAUUGCACAAUGGGGGAAACCCUGAUGCAGCGACGCCGCGUGAGUGAAGAAGUAAUUCGUUAUGUAAAGCUCUAUCAGCAGGGAAGAAAAUGACGGUACCUGAGUAAGAAGCCCCGGCUAACUACGUGCCAGCAGCCGCGGUAAUACGUAGGGGGCAAGCGGUAUCCGGCUUUACUGGGUGUAAGGGGAGCGUAGACGGCGGUGCAGGCCUGGAGGGAAAGGCGGGGGCUCAACCCCCGGACUGCUCUGGAAACUGUUCGGCUGGAGUGCAGGAGAGGUAAGUGGAAUUCCUAGUGUAGCGGUGAAAUGCGUAGAUAUUAGGAGGAACACCAGUGGCGAAGGCGGCCUACUGGACGGUGACUGACGCUGAGGCUCGAAAGCGUGGGGAGCAAACAGGAUUAGAUACCCUGGUAGUC
rnacentral:rRNA from 1 species